GAGGAAGUUCUUCAGGCAGAAUGAGGA
rnacentral:piRNA from 1 species